GGGCCAUGCUCCUGUCUCCUUCUCCCCCAGCUGAGCGCAGUGGAAGCCGGCGGCUCCACCGCCUUCAUCACCGCUAACAUCAGCGUGCCCGUGGUCAAGAACGCGGCUCUCUUCUGGUGGAACCUGCAUCGGAACGGGGCCGGGGCCGGGGCCACGCUGCACGCUGCCUGCCCAGUGCUGGCUGGGGACAAGUGGGUGGCCAACAAAUGGAUCCAUGAGUACGGGCAGGAAUUCCGGCGGCCCUGCAGCACGGACCCAGAGGAAUGAGGUCACCGUGGGCUCCUGGAUGUGGCACCCAUGGGUG